ACGAUCAUCACUGAUGUAUCUCAUUAAGCACCAGAAAAAGGUUAUCUAUCUUUUAAAUUUCAACUUUGUUUUGCUGAAUAAACUCUUCAUGUUCUGGCUCUAUCAUAUUCUUACUAUUGACUAUCUCUAUGAUUUGGCAGAGGUCUAGGCAAAAUGGCUUUGCAAGCAAUGGUUGGACUUCUUAAAACGAUAUCUUUUGAAGGUACUACUUGUUUGUUAGAUUGAAAUCAGAUUUAAAUAUGCAUAAUAUUGAACCAAUUAUGUUAUUGGGAAGAUUGGUUUUUGUAUCUGGAAAAAGCAUUUGAUUCAAAUUUAACUGCAAUGAGUUUUUGAGAAAGUGGCCAAUACUCCACUCGGACUAGAAGAUAUAAGAUUUGAAUAAUUUUAAUUCUCUGCAUAGUUUGUGGUUUUGUAGUUCUUAACUAAGUUCAUUCUCCGCAGCAUUCUUGCUAAUUGAAAUCAAGAGAUUAAACGAAGAUGGGCUUCAAAUGGGGAAGUGACAUAACUCUCUCUCUCUCUCUAAUCAGCAAGCUCAGCAAAAAGAGGCAGAGUAAGAUUUUCUAGAAUCUAUUACUCAUACUCAGGCUUACUUCACUUGCUUAAUUCAUUUCAUUAUAAGUGAUUUGUCAAGUGAUAUCUUGUGUGCAGCGAUAUUGAUUCUCUGCAGAUAAUUGAACUUAAUUUGCUUAGAUGAUACAGGGUAUUUUGCAGCUGCGGCCAAAGCUUCUCUCAGAUUAGUACUCUCCCGUAAGAUUUUCAAUGAGUUAUUUUUCUGAUUAGUUUGAGGUUUUGUAUGUUCUUAAUCGAGUCUCAUCUUCUCUUCUCAGAACUAUUGCUAGGUGAAAUCAAGAGGAGGGCUCAAGUGAAGUAGUUUCUCUCAUCUCUCAAAUCUCUAACUUCAUACAUAAUUAGUCCCACGGAAAAUACAAAGUACACUAUAACACCACGAAAAUACAAUACAGACCUCAAACACAAAAACCUCACGUCCAGAGAACAUAACUCAAAUAUGCAAAACAAAAACACGCAAACAUAACACUCAAAAAAAAACAAAACCUUCACGAUCAAAAACAAAAAUUCGUAGAACUGUGGUGUCAAGGUUCAUAUUUCCUCCUUCUAAAGCAAGCAUUAGCGCAAAACAAGCCUACAUCGAAAGGAAUAUACGAGUGUCAGGUAGUACAUUGAUCUUAUUGAUUCAUCUGCAACUACGUAGCUUUAUCUAUUAAAGAUAGAGAGGAAGCUAAGUUAUGAUCUUUAAAUUUUACUUUUUGUGUCUGAAAGUGAAAUUAAUUUUUGCUAUUGAUGGAGACUUAGCCAUUUUAUAGGAUAUCUCUCUCAACUGGCUGGUUCGUCUGCAGGGGUCCUUGAGCUUAACAUGUUGCUCUGUUUUAUUUACUCCCAAACUUUCUUAUUCAUUUUUUUGUUAUUCUCAAGCUUAACUGCUCUAAGAGAUUUGGAAAUCAGUUCUACUCUUCAUGUGUGAUCGGCAGUAUUUUCAUUUGUAGGCACUGGUUUGGCUUUUGGCCAUUGAAUUCUUUUGCUUGGGUUCGGAUUCGAUGGUAAGGUGGCUUAGAUCAGUUGAACAUGUUUUCACAUAUUAAGCGGCAUGUACUUCAUCACACCUUACUCAGUUACUCUUAAAUGCAACAAUCUUUGUUAUUUCUUGAUCAACUGAGAGUUUUCUUUCAUGUAGAUUCAAGAUUGAGCUGCGGUUUUUCGAAUUUAACUGUAAAGACUUUGGGAAAGUGGCCAAACCUUCCCUCGGACUAGAUGUU
rnacentral:lncRNA from 1 species